rnacentral:rRNA from 1 species
UGCCAGCCGCCGCGGUAAUACGAGGGGUGCAAGCGUUAAUCGGAAUUACUGGGCGUAAAGCGUGCGUAGGUGGUUUGUUAAGCAAGAUGUGAAAGCCCCGGGCUCAACCUGGGAACUGCAUUUUGAACUGGCAGACUAGAGUUUUGUAGAGGGUAGUGGAAUUUCCAGUGUAGCGGUGAAAUGCGUAGAUAUUUGAAGGAACACCAAUGGCGAAGGCAGCUAUCUGGAAUAAUACUGACGCUGAGGUACGAAAGCGUGGGGAGCAAACAGGAUUAGAUA